AAAUUGAAGAGUUUGAUCAUGGCUCAGAUUGAACGCUGGCGGCAGGCCUAACACAUGCAAGUCGAGCGGUAACACAGAGAGCUUGCUCUCGGGUGACGAGCGGCGGACGGGUGAGUAAUGUCUGGGAAACUGCCUGAUGGAGGGGGAUAACUACUGGAAACGGUAGCUAAUACCGCAUAAUGUCGCAAGACCAAAGUGGGGGACCUUCGGGCCUCAUGCCAUCAGAUGUGCCCAGAUGGGAUUAGCUAGUAGGUGGGGUAACGGCUCACCUAGGCGACGAUCCCUAGCUGGUCUGAGAGGAUGACCAGCCACACUGGAACUGAGACACGGUCCAGACUCCUACGGGAGGCAGCAGUGGGGAAUAUUGCACAAUGGGCGCAAGCCUGAUGCAGCCAUGCCGCGUGUGUGAAGAAGGCCUUCGGGUUGUAAAGCACUUUCAGCGGGGAGGAAGGCGUUAAGGUUAAUAACCUUGGCGAUUGACGUUACCCGCAGAAGAAGCACCGGCUAACUCCGUGCCAGCAGCCGCGGUAAUACGGAGGGUGCAAGCGUUAAUCGGAAUUACUGGGCGUAAAGCGCACGCAGGCGGUCUGUCAAGUCGGAUGUGAAAUCCCCGGGCUCAACCUGGGAACUGCAUUCGAAACUGGCAGGCUAGAGUCUUGUAGAGGGGGGUAGAAUUCCAGGUGUAGCGGUGAAAUGCGUAGAGAUCUGGAGGAAUACCGGUGGCGAAGGCGGCCCCCUGGACAAAGACUGACGCUCAGGUGCGAAAGCGUGGGGAGCAAACAGGAUUAGAUACCCUGGUAGUCCACGCCGUAAACGAUGUCGAUUUGGAGGUUGUGCCCUUGAGGCGUGGCUUCCGGAGCUAACGCGUUAAAUCGACCGCCUGGGGAGUACGGCCGCAAGGUUAAAACUCAAAUGAAUUGACGGGGGCCCGCACAAGCGGUGGAGCAUGUGGUUUAAUUCGAUGCAACGCGAAGAACCUUACCUGGUCUUGACAUCCACAGAACUUUCCAGAGAUGGAUUGGUGCCUUCGGGAACUGUGAGACAGGUGCUGCAUGGCUGUCGUCAGCUCGUGUUGUGAAAUGUUGGGUUAAGUCCCGCAACGAGCGCAACCCUUAUCCUUUGUUGCCAGCGGUUAGGCCGGGAACUCAAAGGAGACUGCCAGUGAUAAACUGGAGGAAGGUGGGGAUGACGUCAAGUCAUCAUGGCCCUUACGACCAGGGCUACACACGUGCUACAAUGGCAUAUACAAAGAGAAGCGACCUCGCGAGAGCAAGCGGACCUCAUAAAGUAUGUCGUAGUCCGGAUUGGAGUCUGCAACUCGACUCCAUGAAGUCGGAAUCGCUAGUAAUCGUAGAUCAGAAUGCUACGGUGAAUACGUUCCCGGGCCUUGUACACACCGCCCGUCACACCAUGGGAGUGGGUUGCAAAAGAAGUAGGUAGCUUAACCUUCGGGAGGGCGCUUACCACUUUGUGAUUCAUGACUGGGGUGAAGUCGUAACAAGGUAACCGUAGGGGAACCUGCGGUUGGAUCACCUCCUUA
rnacentral:rRNA from 1 species